CAACCCUCAAGCUCUGCUUGGUAUUGGGCCCUGCCGGUUUCCGGCAGGCCUUAAAAUCAGUGGCGGUGCCAUUCGGCUUCAAGCGUAGUAAUUCUUCUCGCUUUGGAGAUCCGGGUGUGUGCUUGCCAGCAACCCCCAAUUUUUUCA
rnacentral:misc_RNA from 1 species